AACUCACCAGGAGCGACGGUUACAUGAAGGCCAGGCUGAUGACCUUGCCUGAUUUUCCGAGAGGUGGUGCAUGGCCGUCGUCAGUUCGUACCGUAAGGCGUUCUCUUAAGUGAGAUAACGAACGAGACCCUCGCCGCUAAUUGCCAAUGCUCUCUCCGGAGGGCACGCACACUAACGGGACCGCUGUCGCUAAGACAGAGGAAGGAGAGGUCAACGGUAGGUCCGUAUGCCCCGAAUCUCCUGGGCUACACGCGCGCUACAAAGGUUGGGACAAUGGGCUCCGACAUCGAAAGGUGAAGGCAAUCUCGAAACCCAAUCGUAGUUCGGAUUGAGGGUUGUAACUCACCCUCAUGAAGCUGGAUUCCGUAGUAAUCGCUUGUCAACAUCAAGCGGUGAAUAUGCCCCUGCUCCUU
rnacentral:rRNA from 1 species